GAAAUGCGAUAAGUAAUGUGAAUUGCAGAAUUCAGUGAAUCAUCGAAUCUUUGAACGCACCUUGCGCUCCUUGGUAUUCCUUGGAGCAUGCCUGUUUGAGUAUCAUGAAAUCUUCAAAGUAAAUCUUUUGUUAACUCAAUUGGUUUCUACUUUGGUAUUGGAGGUCUUUGCAGCUUCACACCUGCUCCUCUUUGUUCAUUAGCUGGAUCUCAGUGUUAUGCUUGGUUCCACUCGGCGUGAUAAGUUAUCUAUCGCUGAGGACACUGUAAAAGGUGGCCAAGGUAAAUGCAGAUGAACCGCUUCUAAUAGUCCAUUGACUUGGACAAUACUUUUAUGACCUGAUCUCAAAUCAGGUAGGACUACCCGCUGAACUUAAGC
rnacentral:misc_RNA from 1 species